GAUGAAAACGUAGCGAAAUGCGAUAAGUAAUGUGAAUUGCAGAAUUCAGUGAAUCAUCGAAUCUUUGAACGCACAUUGCGCCCCCUGGUAUUCCUGGGGGGCAUGCCUGUCCGAGCGUCAUUACAACCCUCAAGCUCAGCUUGGUGUUGGGCCCCGCCGCCCCGGCGGGCCCUAAAGUCAGUGGCGGUGCCGUCCGGCUCCGAGCGUAGUAAUUCUUCUCGCUCUGGAGGUCCGGUCGUGUGCUCGCCAGCAACCCCCAAUUUUUUUCAGGUUGACCUCGGAUCAGGUAGGGAUACCCGCUGAACUUAAGCAUAUCAAUAAGCGGAGGA
rnacentral:misc_RNA from 1 species